ACGCACGCUGGCGGCGUGCUUCACACAUGCAAGUCGCACGGAAAGGCCCUGCUUUUGUGAGGUGCUCGAGUGGCGAACGGGUGAGUAACACGUGAGUAACCUGCCCUUGACUUUGGGAUAACUUCAGGAAACUGGGGCUAAUACCGGAUAGGAGCUCCUGCUGCAUGGUGGGGGUUGGAAAGUUUCGGCGGUUGGGGAUGGACUCGCGGCUUAUCAGCUUGUUGGUGGGGUAGUGGCUUACCAAGGCUUUGACGGGUAGCCGGCCUGAGAGGGUGACCGGCCACAUUGGGACUGAGAUACGGCCCAGACUCCUACGGGAGGCAGCAGUGGGGAAUAUUGCACAAUGGGCGGAAGCCUGAUGCAGCAACGCCGCGUGCGGGAUGACGGCCUUCGGGUUGUAAACCGCUUUCGCCUGUGACGAAGCGUGAGUGACGGUAAUGGGUAAAGAAGCACCGGCUAACUACGUG
rnacentral:rRNA from 1 species